rnacentral:lncRNA from 1 species
AUGGCCCUACCUCCACCUCAGGGCAGGAAGGCUGCCCAUGACAAAGGAGUCCAUUUCUCGCGGUUGACCCGAUCUCCUGGCAGCACCACAGGCUUGGCCGCCCUCCUGGAGAGUGAGAGAAUGUUCGGGAACAAUGUAAUGGUUGACCGUACAUUUAAACACCUCUGCCUUGUGUCGUGUGCAUGCUUCUCCUGUGUUUGCCUGGGCAACACUGGCUUUUCCUAGUCCGCCAUCUGGGCCUGUGCCUGGCAGCAACGAGGCUCUCUUGAGUUUAAUUGUACUGAAGGGCAAAAGGGCUUCAACUCUUCAACUUUCAGUUUUGGAGAUGAGUAAAAUUAGGGGGUUCUUUUUCUCAUGACAGAAAAUUCACCACAUCUGCCCCAUGUGGUGAGACACCUCACUUUUGCUUAAAACAGACAACAAUGCUCACAGACAAUCCAUGCCGUGUGAGCGCAACAGGUUUUUUUUUGUUUUUUUUUUUUUGUUUUUUUUACGGUCUCCUCUGUGGGUGUUUUUUUCCUCUUAUUUUCUUGUGACAAUCACGGUGUUACUACAACUACACGAGAUGCCACCUCUUUACCCCCUUUCAGCAAUUACAGAAAUUGGGGGCUGAAUCAUUACCCCUGCAUAAAAUUGUGACCGUUUUGGAAUAUAGUGGUAUCUCCUGCACUUCCCAUUGUACUGUAAGCGUGUGUUCAUGUUAUUAAAUAUCAUUCCAAGCGUUAAAUUGAAUCUGAAUCUUAAUUGUUAAGGACUUCACAAUAUUUCCAAUACGGGCAUGCUAUAAUUUAUCCAAACAUUCCCUUACCACUGAUCAACUCUCACUAGUAGAUGAAGAUUUUGAGUAGCACUAAGUGAAUACAAGUUAUAAAAAUCAUUAAUUGCACCCAGUGGAAAUUAGGUUCUGGAGAAGUACUAAUAAUUUAGUUAUCAGUUCUUAAAUGUUUUUUCUUACUUAUCUGCUUAUGAUAAUGCCUUCCUCAUUUUUUUUUAAAGAUUUUAUUUAUUUGUUUAUGAGAGACACACAGAGAGAGGCUUCCUCAUUAUUUUGAACAAAUAAUCAUGGUAGUCUUUUUUUGUGUUACCCACUUUAAAGACUUCGAUCUUUAGAAAAUGUGACAUUUUUUACUCACUUUUUGAUAGCAACUUACACAUUACUUGCCAGACUUUGACAAGUAUGGUUGGUUCAGAGUCUGUGUAUGUGUAGGACAGUGUGUGUGUAAAGAAUAAAUUAGGGACAUCAUGACAUGACCUCCUAAAUAUUUCAAAAUGCAUUUCUAAUCAAUUAGUAACGCUUGCUUAUGUAAAAAAAAAAACACUAUCACCCCUAAAAUUAAUAAUCAUACUCUAAUAGUCUAUAAAUUCAAAUUCCCCCAAAUAUCCCCCUAAUUGUCUUUCAUAGCCUUUUUGUUCAUGCCAGGAACCAGUCUCAAACCACGCAUUCCACCUGCUUGCUACAUGUCCUCAGCGUCCUUUAAUCUAGACACUAGUAUCUUUGUGGAAUCUUCUUACUGUAGCCAGUGGGCCGGCCUAGAAGUCCCCCACCCCCACUUGCUUAACCCAUGGUGUCAUUUAGCUUCUUCCUCUCUCCUUUGUAUCUCCCAGAAAUUACAUUUACAGGAUGAUUAGACCCCAAGUGAAUAUCGUUGGCUAGAUUGCAUCCCAAGGGUUCUGUGACCUCAGAAUGCACGAUACCAGGAGAACAUGUACUAUCGGGUUGUCCCACCAUUUCUGAUGCUAGAUCUACCAUUAGUUAGGGUGAUGGCAAUCUGAGCCAUCCGUUGUAUGAUUACUUUUUCUCCUGAUGACCAGAACCUCAUCACUGUGGUGUUGCUUUGGAUCAACGUAAAUGGUGCAGGUCCCAUCCACUAUCUACCAAAUGUCCCUCCACAAGCUGAUAGUCCUUUCUUGGAUCUACAUUCUCAUUGGAAUGGCAAGAUUAUGAUUUUUCUACGCCUAUCCUUCUACAUCUAGCUGGCAUUCUUCUGUAAAAUAGUUGUAUCUUGUCAACUGGAGCUGUUUGGUUACCCUGACAUAGAGUUCCUAUUGGAAAGACAUUAAACCUAUUUCCCCUUCAAUUACAUAGCUUCCAAAUAAGGAGUCAGUACUAGCUACCUCAAAUGAGUUUCUUCUGGCUCUCUCCUGAGUAUCAUUACGGACUCAUGAAUUUUCAU